AGGCAACACUUUGUGGCAGAUGAUCAAAACUGUCUGACACAAUUUGAACCUUCCUAUAGCAACAAAGUCUAACCUAUUGAAGUGCUCUCUCCUCUAUGAGACAAACUGUUAUAUAGACUUAGUGUAA